rnacentral:rRNA from 1 species
GUAGGUGGCAAGCGUUGUCCGGAAUUAUUGGGCGUAAAGCGCGCGCAGGCGGUUCUUUAAGUCUGAUGUGAAAGCCCACGGGCUCAACCGUGGAGGGUCAUUGGAAACUGGAGAACUUGAGUACAGAAGAGGAAAGCGGAAUUCCACGUGUAGCGGUGAAAUGCGUAGAGAUGUGGAGGAACACCAGUGGCGAAGGCGGCUUUCUGGUCUGUAACUGACGCUGAGGCGCGAAAGCGUGGGGAGCAAACAGGAUUAGAUACCCUGGUAGUCCACGCCGUAAACGAUGAGUGCUAGUGUUAGGGGGUUUCCGCCCCUUAGUGCUGCAGCUAACGCAUUAAGCACUCCGCCUGGGGAGUACGGCCGCAAGGCUG